rnacentral:rRNA from 1 species
AUACGGAGGGGGUUAGCGUUGUUCGGAAUAACUGGGCGUAAAGCGCACGUAGGCGGAAUGUUAAGUUAGAGGUGAAAUCCCAGGGCUCAACCCUGGAACGGCCUUUAAUACUGGCAAUCUAGAGACCGAGAGAGGUGAGUGGAAUUCCGAGUGUAGAGGUGAAAUUCGUAGAUAUUCGGAGGAACACCAGUGGCGAAGGCGGCUCACUGGCUCGAUACUGACGCUGAGGUGCGAAAGCGUGGGGAGCAAACAGGAUUAGAUACCCUAGUAGUCC